rnacentral:rRNA from 1 species
UGGGGAAUAUUGGACAAUGGGCGCAAGCCUGAUCCAGCAAUGCCGCGUGUGUGAAGAAGGCCUUCGGGUUGUAAAGCACUUUUUAUCAGGAGCGAAACGCUGUCGGCUAAUACCGGCGGAACUGACGGUACCUGAGGAAUAAGCACCGGCUAACUUCGUGCCAGCAGCCGCGGUAAUACGAAGGGUGCAAGCGUUAAUCGGAAUUACUGGGCGUAAAGCGUGCGUAGGCGGUUUCUUAAGUCUGCUGUGAAAUCCCCGGGCUCAACCUGGGAAUGGCAGUGGAUACUGGGAGGCUAGGAGUGUGUCAGAGGGUGGUGGAAUUCCCGGUGUAGCGGUGAAAUGCGUAGAGAUCGGGAGGAACAUCAGUGGCGAAGGCGGCCACCUGGGACAACACUGACGCUGAGGCACGAAAGCGUGGGGAGCAAACAGGAUUAGAUACCCUGGUAGUCCACGCCCUAAAGCGAUGCGAACUGGAUGUUGGUCUCAACUCGGAGAUCAGUGUCGAAGCUAACGCGUUAAGUUCGCCGCCUGGGGAGUACGG